GUUAAUUUGUUUCUAUACUCUAAGCGACAGUACAGAAUGUCACCUUUUAUUUUAGGGUAUUUUCAUACACAUCUGUUUUACUGUUUAGAAAUGAAAGCACUUUAUGCAUCUAGUCCCCCCAUUUGAAGGUGUCUGUCACGUCCUGACCAGUUUAAAGGUUAUUUGUUAUUGUAGUUUGGUCAGGACGUGGCAGAGGGUAUUUGUUUUAUGUGGUUCGGGGUGGUGUUUUAUGUACUAGGGUGUUUGAUUUAUUAUUUCCGGGUUUUUGGUCUAUGUUCUAUGUUUUGGUAUUUCUAUGUUCUUUCGGGUUUGUUGUAUUUCUAUGUUUAGGUUAAUGGGGGGUGUUCACUUUAUUUUAAAAUAAAUCAAGAUGAGCAUCCACAUUCCUGCUGCGUUUUGGUCCUCCAUUCCAGAUGACAACCGUUACAGAAUCUCCCACCACAAAUGGACCAAGCAGCAGAGUAAGGAGCAAAGGGAUUUCGAGAUGGACUGGUGGGAGAAAUGGACCUGGGAGGAAAUUCUGGAUGGGGCUGGACCUUGGCACCAGGCUGGGGAAUACCGUCGCCCACGGGAGGAAAUCGAGGCAGCCAAGGCGGAGAGGCGGAGGUACGAGGCCUUGUACGCGCUGAGGGAGAAGCACGAGAGGCACCCCCAAGAAUUUUUUUUGGGGGGGGGGCACACUGGUAGUUUGGCUGGGCCAAGGAUGAGCCAUAAGCCAGCUACCCAUGUUUAUAUGGAGGACCGUAUGGAGUGGAGGGCGCCGUGUUUUGCUGAAGUGCGCACAAUCUCGCCCAUAAGCACGCACAGUCCAGUGCGAGUUAUUCCAGCCCCUCGCAGAUGCCGUGCUAGAGUGGGCAUCCAGCCUGGUAGGAGGAUGCCUGCGCAGCACGUCUGGUCACCGGUGCACCUCCUAGGACCAGGCUACCCUACGCCCGCUCUACACACGGCAAACAUCAGGCCCCUGCACAGCCCAGUUCACCCUAUACUAGCACCCCGCUCGUACAGGGCUACUAGUUCCCUCCAGCCAGGACGGGUUGUGCAGGAGGUGAGAUCAAGACCGCCUGUGCGCCUCCAUGGCCCGGUGUUUCCAGUUCCUGUCUCUCGUCCGGACCCGGAAGUGCGAAACCCCAGUCUGGCACGUCCAGUACCAGCACCACGCACCAGGCUUCCAGUGCGUCAACCCAGUCCGACUCGGCCUGUUCCCACUCCCCGCACUAGCCCUGAGGGGCGUGUUCCCAGGCUGAUACCUCCAGUACCAGCACCACGCAUCAGGCUUCCAGUGCG
rnacentral:lncRNA from 8 species